UAUAUAAUGAAAUACUACUCAGCCACAAAAAAGGAAUGAAAGCAUGGCAUUCACUGCAAUGUGGUUGGAAUUGGAGACUAUUAUUCUAAGUGAAGUAACUCAAGUAGGGAAAACCAAACAUCACGUGUUCUCACUAAUAUGUGGGAUCUAAGCUAUGAAGAUGAAAAGGAUAAGAAUGAUACACUGAACUUUGGGGACUUGGAGGAAAGGGUGGGAAGGAGGGAAGGGAG